rnacentral:rRNA from 1 species
CCUACGGGAGGCAGCAGUGGGGAAUAUUGGGCAAUGGGCGCAAGCCUGACCCAGCAACGCCGCGUGAAGGAAGAAGGCUUUCGGGUUGUAAACUUCUUUUAUCAGGGACGAAGCAAGUGACGGUACCUGAUGAAUAAGCCACGGCUAACUACGUGCCAGCAGCCGCGGUAAUACGUAGGUGGCAAGCGUUAUCCGGAAUCAUUGGGCGUAAAGAGUUCGUAGGCGGCACGUAAAGUCUGGUGUUAAAGGCAGAGGCUCAACUUCUGUACGGCACUGGAUACUUGCGAGCUAGAAUGCGGUAGAGGUAAAGGGAAUUCCUGGUGUAGCGGUGAAAUGCUUAGAUAUCAGGAGGAACAUCGGUGGCGUAAGCGCUUUACUGGGCCGUAAUUGACGCUGAGGAACGAAAGCCAGGGUAGCAAAUGGGAUUAGAUACCCUAGUAGUC